rnacentral:lncRNA from 1 species
GCCGUUUCUACAAUCAAAAUAGAAAUUAUUAUUUGUAUACGUAUAUUUGUAUACGUGUUCAUGAACCAUUUUCCAAUAAAAUCCUAAAUAUUUGCAUAUUUAGUCCGACAAAAUAGAUAAUAUAUGUAUCGUCUGUUCAUGAGGAGUUGGUAUUUUUCAUUAUACGACUUGAUUAAUUUACUUAUGUUUUUUUUCGUGUUGUUCAGUGUUACUUUUUCUGUGUGUUUGUUUUUUUUGCACUAUCGUUUGUCUGAUUUUUUUUAGCCAUGACGUUGCCUGUUUAUUUUCGACUUUUGGGUUGGAAUAUCGCUUUCGUAUUUUUGCCUAUCUUUAAAUUGUAAACUAAACAAAUAUAGUUAAGUUUCAAAUACAGAGUAAUUAAAUUAGUUUAAAUGUACAUCUUCUCAUUCCAAUCACGUUUACAUAGAAGUUUUGAUUAACAAACAAAGGUAUAUUUUUACGGCUUGUGAUCAGUUAGUUAUUAAUCCAUGAAAGUGUUGAUCCGUGUGCAAACACUGUUAAAAAUGUCUCUAAUCAGUUGCGUAGGGUUCACCGCAGGUAACUUUGAUUUUGUUCUUGUUUAGAAAUAUGAUCUGGUUAACAAUUUCAGGCGAAAGACUGUUAGACUUUUUAUUUUUUGUUACAAGUUGAGCACAUGAAAACAUUCCUUCAGGAGGAAAGAACGUUGCUGAUACUACUAUAACAAAUAAUAUACUCAGGAUAAACAUAUUUAUGUUGUUAAUUGAUUUUAUUUAGUAUUACAAAGGGG